rnacentral:rRNA from 1 species
GCUACGGGAGGCUGCAGUGGGGGAUAUUGCACAAUGGGGGGAACCCUGAUGCAGCGACGCCGCGUGGGUGAAGAAGAGCCUCGGCGCGUAAAGCCCUGUCAGCAGGGAAGAAAAUGACGGUACCUGAAGAAGAAGCCACGGCCAACGACGGUCCAGCAGCGGCGGGAAUACGUAGGGGGCAAGCGUGAUCCGGAUUUACUGGGUGUCAAGGGGGAGCAGACGGCGGUGCAAGCCAGGCGUGAAAGCCCGGGCCCCAACCCCGGGACUGCUCUUGGAACUGCGUGGCUGGAGUGCAGUCGGGGCAGGCGGAAUUCCUUGUGUAGCCGUGAAAUGCGUCGAUAUCAGG